AGCCGGAGCCCGAGUGAGCGCGGGCUUGAGACCUGCUGAGCAGCGGGACCUGGCGGCUGGCGUUCUGGUGUGGGGCCGAGAACAGACCCUUCUUCUGAAAAGCCACUGGCCCCUUGUUCUAUGAAGUGAGUGGUGUUGACUCUGUAAAAUGCUAUCCUUUGAUGACAUGUGCAUAUCUAGGCUCUGAAGAAAUAUGUGCUGCUUGGCUGUGUUGGUAAUGGACCCAAAAUGUGCACCGUUGGUUGAUGUCACCAAAUAAUCAACUCGGGAUUAUUUUAAUCCCGUGGACAGUGAUUGUUUCCCCUAAAAGGGAAAUAAAUGUAGACUGCGAACACCCAAAACAAAUGUCUAGUGACCAUGAGUUACAAUGCAAAAAUCAGGCUCAGGGAAGGUAAAGAGAGAGUUGACCUUUAGUUACCCAUCUUGACGUUGGACGUCUAUCAGUGCAGUGAACAUGUGGACGGUUUAAGGUCAUAGAGCAACCUUUCUGGAAUAACGAAUACUAUUAGAAAGCAUAGGAAAGAAAUGUCUUGUCAAAUAAUGGAAGACUGGAUAGCAGCUUGGCCAAUCUUCUCACUCAGGUGAAUACUUUCUAAUUACUGUAACUUAGUGAUAUAGGAUUCUUAUUAAUUUAUUUGCUUUAUGUUUAAAUAUUGUUAACAAAAAAACUUCAAACAAGUUUAGCAGAGUUUAUCUGAGCAAAGAAAGCAUGAAUCAUGUAGUAUCCUGAGCCAGUAAAGGUUCAGAGAGCUCCAGCCCCUAACAGUGGGCAAGCCGCGUUUAUAGACAAUAUUUUUUGCAGCCUGUAAUGGGCUAAAAGCUCCGCUGCGGUGAUUGGCCAAGACUUGGCCACUUGUUAGAAGAACGUACUCUCAAAUUACAUUGCAGUUUAUUUACAUAUUAGGUUUGAUUAUGCUUUGCUAGGUAGGGAGGCAACUUUAGGCCAGAUUUAAUUUAAUAACAGUUUCCUCCUUUGGGUCAGCCUCUCAGUUUUACGAGAUUGACCAGAACCUUGUUUUGUCUCAGUAUGGAAGUCACAAUGUCAAAUUAGUUGAGUGAUUAUACUUUCUUCAUGUUGUUAUUCUAACUGUAAUAACACCAUUUGGUGUACAAAGGAUGGCUGCAUAGAGACAUUGAAGACUCUCGAGGGGACAACAACACAUCAGGGAGACUAUUAUGGCCACGAGAAGGAGUAUAGCAAUAAACUGAGGUACACACCUUAACAGGAGUCUCCACAAACUGAACUGAUCAAAAUUAAACAAUUCAAAGUUCAGGCAAUAAAGAUAGUUCAAAGUAUUUGAGUCCAAUUGGUCAUGGUCUAAUUUAGGGCAUUAUGGCGGUUAAGGACUGCUAGAAAUGCUUAUUUCUUGGUGCCGUAAAGAAAUAGCACUUGAACAUAAAAUUAAUUUCUUUAGCAAGGCCAUUUUUACUUUCUGCGGAAAGAGUACACUCGCCAGCAGUUUUGCCACAAGAGUACACCGAACAAAGGAGGCAGGGUCAUUUAUAACCUGACCCGUCCACCUUACUGUUGUGACUGGUUUCCAUUGGCUAGAACGGGACUUCACAUUCUGUAUUUGUCUUGAUUGGCUAGCAACUUAGAAAUUCUUAAAAGAGGCAAAGGCAGAGGAGAACAAAGGAAGGAGGAAGUAACUUGUGGAAUGCUGAGAAGGGAAAAACACCUCUAAAUAAGGAAGAGGAACAGGCUAUGACCUAAUGCCCACUUGGACCAGUAUAAGCAUGCCAGGGCAAAUAUUUAGGCUAAAUUGUGGGAGCUAAGAACAUAAAGUACAUUGAUUUCUUUAUUACAGCUAGCAGAUAUUUAAGAAUGUUAACAGGUCUUUGAAUAAAUUUUGCUUCUAAGAGAGGUUACUAUUUAUUCCUAAUCAGAUGAGGAGGAAAGUCUUUGAAAAGGAACCUCUACUUUACUUUUUACAAGGACCAUAGUUCACUGAAUGACCUGAUUCAGCCUUAUGGCCUGAUUUAAAGAGGUAUCCAUUUUUGUAAUUAGCCUGGUAACACAAGUUAUAAUAACCUGGAGAGCCACUAAAGAAGCAUAAAGAUUAGAAAAGUUUGGAAUA
rnacentral:lncRNA from 10 species